GAGAGCUCUCAUUUUCCCCCCUUGCUCGGGAUGGUGCCACAGGAGGCUGUGCGGGCCCCGCUCCGCUUCGAAUGGCUGGUCCUAUAGUACCCCUCCUCAGGAAUGUCUCCCCAGUGCAAGGACAAAGACUGAAGAGACUGCUAUAUUGAUGGACUCUCAAGCCAACUAUGAAGUUGAAACAAAGAAAGUGAUCACCUGAAGACACCUCCUCUGCUAAGAAACACCCCCAAAUUGUGCAGCUUCUGCCACUAGAACUCUCAGAACAAGAGACAAUCUUUUCAAGAAACAGAAAAACUCAAUAAUGACAUCUAGAUUUUCAUGAGCCAAGAACUUUCCCUUCCUCAUGUGUAUUCCUCUGUUUGUACUUAAAUUCAUGUGACAUUCAUUUUUUUCCUAGUAUGGAUAUGCUUAUUAAUGCACUUGUUUCAAAAUCCCAAAUUGCACAAAUGUGUUAAUAUUUUAAGAAACAAAAUGAAUCCUACAAGGAGAAUGAUUUUUAGCCACACAUAGGGUUGGAUCUUGAGAGUGACCUACAGAAUAAAAGUACUUUUAAAAUAAAGUAGUCAGAGGCUAUUCAAAGGGUAAAAUAAUCAUAGUACCACAUUGGUCCACUUGACACUAACCAAUCGAUCAUUUUUUUUUAAUCAAGAAAGCUAGAUUCUAUCAGAUAAAAUCACUGCUUCUAAAGAGUUUAAAUCUAGUUAGAAAAAGUUAUAGAAAUGUUUGCAAAGAUAAGUAACAGAUAGAGUCAGUAGAGGAUAAGAUCAAAAACAAAACCAAGCAAAAGAUGAGUUCAGGGGAGUUUGCCAUCAAGUUGGCAAAACUGACUUACUUAGGGAAGAAAGUUAUAAAACAGGAAAAUAUGAGAUGAACCUUGAGUGAUGUGGAAGAUUUAGAUAAAUGGAAAGGAAGGAGAAAAUGGAGUUCUUUAGGUGGUUGUAAUUGGAGGAGGAAAUGAAUACACACAUCUUGUUGACUUAAACCCAGACAUUCAGCAGCUCUCUAUACAUAUCUGGAAAAGACUGCACAGUCACCUCCUGUCUCUCACCCCAGGUAUUACUUAGAAUUAUUAUCAUAUUUCCCUUCCUUUAAAGUAAGUAAGGGUGAUUGGUGACAAUAUGGAGAACUAUGAUUUUUCCAUUAACCUAAUAAUAAUUGGUAUUUAUUGAGUUCUGUUAAGCAUUUUACAUAUUAACUCACUUAAGCCUUUCAACAGCCUUGCAAAAUAGGUAUUAUUAUCCCCAUUUUACAGGCAAGAAAACUGAGGUUUAAGUAACUUGCCGAAGUGCCAUAUACAGGGCUCACAUUCAGUAUUGCAGUUGCAAAGCUCAUGAUCUAUAGUGCCAAGUUGCAAUAUUGUAGUCAAUGUCACAAUUAUUACCCCUUUUUAUAUUCCUUGAUAUUUUUCCAUGGCAAACAAUUAGCUAUUUCAUUUAAUAAUCACCUAAAACUUUUCAGUCUUCUGAUUAAAAUUACGCUGGAGUGAUAGAAUGUAUUUUCAUGAUAGAAAUUGGGAAAAAAAAUGGGGAAUGAAGUUUAUCAGCAUUUCAGACUUGUUUUUUUUUUUUUUUUUUGCAAGACUUUGAUGAGAUUGUUCACUUUUGUCUAUGUAAAAUCCCAAAUCCUUGAGAAUAAAAAAGGGGGAGGUUUAAGUCACUUGUUGCAAUGCCCUUUUUAAUAGAGGCAAUAAAUCUAAAGGCCAUAAAUUUAGAGUGACUUACAGAAGAUCGAACUUUGGAGUGUGGCAGAGUAAGGGAUGGAAACCGGGCCCUCCAGUUCACUAUCAGUAGCUUUUGCACUGGUCUGCCCUUCCUAAAUUAAGUAUGCACUUCAAUUUGAUGAGUGGAAACAGUCUAUCUGGGCAGUAACCAGGGAGCUUUGUGCCUAGUAGAUUGCUUCUGUUCUGCACUUCUUUGGUUUCCCACCUCAAUGUAAAAAAUAGCUAGCAAUGAAGUCCAGAAGUUGUCAAUGGUUCAUCCCCAGAAGAAUGCAUAAUGUCCAAAGUUGUAUGUGUAUGAUGUCUUCAAUGGUAUUAAGUUAUUUCAAAUUCUUAGUUCACCUACAUAAAUCAUUUCUAACAAGCAUCUUCUUAACCAACUUUAUGCACAGUGUAUGUUUGUAAGUGCUUCUGCACGAAUGUUUAUACAUGACUGUUUCCAUAGUACUUAUGUUUUUAAAAAUAUUCAGUCAUUUCCUACUAUAAUCCUCAUGUAUCCAUGUAACUGACUCAAAAAUACUUCAGCCACAGAAAGCUAAAACUGAGCAAAUCUCAUUCUUCUUUUCCAUCCCCUUUGCAUGUGGCUGGCAUUUAGUAAUGAUUAAUAAUAUGGCCAGCUGAAUAACAGAGGUUUGAGACACAAUUCUUUCUCAAAGGAGUCAGCUAAGCUGGGUCUACUUAUGGACAAACAUCUAAAUGUGUGGAAGUAUCUGAUAUUUGACAAUGGUAAAUUUCCACUUAGCUAGCUAGCAUUGUCAGACUUCAAUCUCCUCAUGGCUCUGGCCGUCCUGUUUUAAGCAUGAUAAUUGUUGGCCACAUCUCACAUAGUUCUCAUUGAGUGAGUUCAUAAAUAAACAGGGUUUUUUUUUUUUUUUAAAGAGCAGCCAAGCACAAAGUGUGACUUUGUUGACAUUUUAUGUGACUUUGUCAUAUGUUCCUAACCCCCAAUAAAAGCAAUGUUGCAUCA
rnacentral:lncRNA from 1 species